UACAGAGGGUGCGAGCGUUGUUCGGAGUUACUGGGCGUAAAGGGUGCGUAGGCGGUCCUGUAAGUAUGGUGUGAAAUCUCCCGGCUUAACUGGGAGGGUGCGCUAUAGACUGCGGGACUAGAGGGUGGGAGAGGAAAGUGGAAUUCCUGGUGUAGCGGUGAAAUGCGUAGAUAUCAGGAGGAACACCGGUGGUGUAAACGGCUUUCUGGACCAUUUCUGACGCUGAGGCACGAAAGCGUGGGUAGCAAACAGG
rnacentral:rRNA from 1 species